CAGCAGCCGCGGUAAUACGAGGGGGGCAAGCGUUGUUCGGAAUUAUUGGGCGUAAAGGGUGCGUAGGCGGCUUGACAAGUCUUGUGUGAAAUCUAUGGGCUCAACCCAUAGUCUGCACGGGAAACUGUCGGGCUUGAGUAUUGGAGAGGUGAGUGGAAUUUCCGGUGUAGCGGUGAAAUGCGUAGAUAUCGGAAGGAACACCUGUGGCGAAAGCGGCUCACUGGACCAUUUCUGACGCUGAUGCACGAAAGCUAGGGGAGCAAACAGGAUUAGAUACCCCCGUAGUCCCUGUCUCUUAUAC
rnacentral:rRNA from 1 species